GGGAGGCAGCAGUAGGGRAUAUUGGUCAAUGGGUGAGAGCCUGAACCAGCCAUGCCGCGUGCAGGAAGACGGCCUUCUGGGUUGUAAACUGCUUUUAUAUGGGAAGAGAAAGCCCUUGCGAGGGAAACUGACGGUACCAUAAGAAUAAGCACCGGCUAACUCCGUGCCAGCAGCCGCGGUAAUACGGAGGGUGCAAGCGUUGUCCGGAUUUAUUGGGUUUAAAGGGUGCGUAGGCGGGCAAUUAAGUCAGUGGUGAAAGCCGGCAGCUCAACUGUCGAACUGCCAUUGAUACUGGUUGUCUUGAGUAUUGUUAAGGUAGGCGGAAUUGAUGAUGUAGCGGUGAAAUGCAUAGAUAUCAUCAGGAACACCAAUUGCGUAGGCAGCUUACUGGGCAAUAACUGACGCUGAGGCACGAAAGCGUGGGGAGCGAACAGGAUUAGAUACCCUGGUAGUCCACGCCGUAAACUAUGAUUACUCGCUGUCGGCGAUACACUGUCAGCGGCCAAGCGAAAGCGUUAAGUAAU
rnacentral:rRNA from 1 species